AUGAUCCUGCAGUAAUGAAUGUUAUCUUACAGUGGACAAAACAUAAGCUGAAGGAAUGGGGGAUAGAAAAGGAAACAAAAGUGACAUGGAGAGUUCAAGCAAAUGGAUAUGUGUUUUCACGAGUUACACACUUUUAAGUUUCAGCGGGCAGCAGUGGUGAUCCUGGCUCACUUUGACUCCAGUUGUGUGCUCAGAAGUGUCAACACUGUUGCAGGACAUAUAAAAGGAGUAAUUCUGUGCUGGUUAUGAAGAUCAGCAGUACAUGUAAAAUGUGUUAAUAUGAUUGAUAUAUUGUAAACUCCAUCAACAAUCUUAAAACAGUUAAAUGCUACUUUUAUUUAAAAAAAAUUAUUUGAGGUUUAUUUUGGCACAGCUGUGAUUUCACUUAGUAGGGGAUGUAAUUCUGUUUCUGUUUCUAACUUUAUUUUUUAAAUUCACCUGUUAUUAUAAAAUGACUAGUAUAUAAUAAUUAUAGUAUAGAUCAUUUUCUGUAUACCAUUCCAUAAAUAAAUCACUUA